rnacentral:rRNA from 1 species
CCUACGGGAGGCAGCAGUCGGGAAUAAUGCUCAAUGGAGGAAACUCUGAAGCAGUGACGCCGCGUAUGGGAAGAAGGUUUUCGGAUUGGAAGCUAUCGUCGGUAGGGAAGAUAAAAGACUGUACCGAAGGAGGAAGCCGCGGCUAACUAUGUGCCAGCAGCCGCGGUAAGACAUAGGGGGCAAGCGUUAACCGGAGUUAUUGGGUGUAAAGGGUGCGUAGACGGAAGAACAAGUUGGUUGUUAAAUCCCUCGGCUCAACCGAGGAACUGCAGCCAAAACUAUUCUCCUUGAGUGUCGGAGAGGCAAGUGGAAUGCCUAGUGUAGCGGUGAAAUGCGUAGAUAUUAGGCAGAACACCAGUGGCGAAGGCGACUUUCUGGACGAUAACUGACGUUGAGGCACGAAAGUGUGGGGAGCAAACAGGAUUAGAUACCCUUGUAGUC